GACGAACGCUGGCGGCGUGCUUAACACAUGCAAGUCGAACGAGUGGCGAACGGGUGAGUAACACGUGGGUGAUCUGCCUUGCACUUCGGGAUAAGCUUGGGAAACUGGGUCUAAUACCGGAUAGUGCAAGAUGAGCUCGCGGCCUAUCAGCUUGUUGGUGGGGUAAUGGCUACCAAGGCGCGACGGGUAGCCGGCCUGAGAGGGUGUACGGAAGAAGUGGAAAAGAGAUACAGAGCAGACUCCGACGGGAGACAGAAGUAGGGAAGAAUGCGAGAGGGGCAGAGGCAUGAUGCAGCGACGCCGCGUGGGAGAGGAAGGCCUUCGGAAUGUAAACUCAGUUCAACAGGGACGCGGUACCAGUAUAAGAAGCACAGGCUAACUAAGUACCAGCAGCCGCGGUAAUAC
rnacentral:rRNA from 1 species